GGAGAGAUGCGAGAGCGGUCGAAUCGGACGGUCUCGAAAACCGUUGAACCCCUACGGGUUCCGAGGGUUCGAAUCCCUCUCUCUCCG
rnacentral:tRNA from 1 species